rnacentral:lncRNA from 1 species
GUGUCAUGGUUGCAAUUUCCACCAUGUAAGAUACUGUUGAUUUUUGCGAACUUCUUAAAACUGGACAGAUCCUUUGUCUGGAGAGUCAGGAAGGAGCUGGAAGAGUCUGGAGGGGAGUAUGAAUCCACACUUCGGGGUGCUGAUCACAAGGACACAGUUGAGGAAUAAACAAAAAACAACACAAAAUUUGAGUUGAUGUCCAGGAUCUGGGAGGAGUUCUUGAAUCUGGCAAAUGAGACUACCAUUAAGACCUGCUCCUGUUUCCGAGGUCAAGUCGAGGUCAUUAUUGACACCAAAGGAUUUUAACAUAAAAGAAGGACAUUGAAGGAUGAAUUAGAUCAGUGACUCUCAAAAAUAUGAUGGAC